UACGUAGGGGGGCAAGCGUUGUCCGGAUUUAUUGGGCGUAAAGAGCGUGUAGGCGGUUUAUUAAGUCUAUGGUGAAAGUGCGGGGCUCAACCCCGUAUGGCCAUAGAAACUAGUAGACUUGAGUGCAGGAGAGGGCAAUGGAAUUCCACGUGUAGCGGUAAAAUGCGUAGAUAUGUGGAGGAACACCAGUGGCGAAGGCGGUUGCCUGGCCUGUAACUGACGCUGAGGCACGAAAGCGUGGGGAGCAAAUAGG
rnacentral:rRNA from 1 species